AGUGAACGCUGGCGGCGUGCUUAACACAUGCAAGUCGAGCGAGAACGGGUUAUAGCUUGCUAUAAUUGUCAGCUAAGUGGCGCACGGGUGAGUAAUGUAUAGGUAAUAUGCCUCUUACUAAGGGAUAACAAAUGGAAACGUUUGCUAAUACCUUAUACUCCUUAUUAACAUAAGUUAAUAAGGGAAAGAUUUAUUGGUAAGAGAUUAGCCUGUAUUGUAUCAGUUAGUUGGUGGGGUAAUGGCUUACCAAGACUAUGACACAUAACUGGUUUGAGAGGAUGAUCAGUCACACUGGGACUGAGACACGGUCCAGACUCCUACGGGAGGCAGCAGUGGGGAAUAUUGCACAAUGGACGAAAGUCUGAUGCAGCAACGCCGCGUGGAGGAUGACACAUUUCGGUGCGUAAACUCCUUUUAUAUGAGAAGAUAAUGACGGUAUUAUAUGAAUAAGCACCGGCUAACUCCGUGCCAGCCGCCGCAGUAA
rnacentral:rRNA from 1 species